rnacentral:lncRNA from 1 species
AUUAUUGCAAGUCAAGCAAUGAUAUCUGGAGCUUUUUCUAUUGUGGCUCAGGCCCAAAGUCUAGGUUGUUUCCCAAGGGUGAAGGUAAUUCACACAUCUGCAAAGCACGAGGGUCAGGUUUACAUUCCCGAGUUGAAUUACUUCCUCAUGGUUGCAUGUGUUGUAGUUACUCUCAGCUUCAAAACCACAGGAAAUUUGGGGAAUGCUUAUGGAAUUUGUGUGGUUAGUGCUGAGCUCAUAACCACAAAUAUGGUGACAUUAGUAAUGCUUCUUAUAUGGAAAAUUAGCAUAUGGCGGAUUAUCUUAUUCUACGUGGUGUACGUUACCAUAGAAUCUACAUAUCUAUCCGCUCAGCUGACAAAGUUCGUGCAAGGUGGUUUUCUACCUUUGGCUUUCUCAUUUGUGCUCGUGAUCAUUAUGGGGAUUUGGCACUAUGUUCAAAAACAUAGAUAUGAAUUCGAGCUCAAGAACAAGGUUUCAAGUGACUACAUUACGGACUUAGCCAAAAAUCCAGACAUCAAAAGAGUACCUGGAAUAGGACUACUCUACUCUGAAUUAGUACAGGGGAUUCCACCAAUAUUUCCCCACUUUGUCUCCAAUAUUCCGUCGGUCCAUUCUAUUAUAGUUCUGGUGUCAAUUAAAUCCAUUCCUAUAAACAAAGUAGCGCUGGAGGAACGGUUCUUGUUCAGACAUGUUCAGCCUAGAGAAUACAAGGUGUUCCGAUGUGUAGUUAGGUUAGGGUACAAUGAUCAACUUGGGAAACCAGAGGAAUUUGAAAACCAAUUGGUGGAACAUUUGAAAGAGUUCAUUCGAGAUGAAUACUAUAUUCUUGCAGCACAUGCUGAUCAAGUUGCAGAUAGAGAAAUUGAACCUGCAGUAUCUGGCCAACUAGUGGCUGGAAAUUCAUCCCGGGUCUACACGGAGGAAGAGCUGGAGCAACAAGUAGAUUCUAGAGUUUCAUCAGCUGGUUCGAUUCGAUCAAUGAACACUUCAGCAGCUCAGUCGAAUCAUUCAUCAAAUAGAAUACAAAUGGUCCCACCAAGUUUGGAAGAAGUAGAAGUGAUGCAGUUUGUGGAAAAAGCAAAGGAGCAAGGAGUGUUCUAUCUCCUGGGAGAAGCAGAGGUGGUCACUAAACAAGAUUCUUCAUUCUUGAAGAAAUUUGUUGUCAACUAUGCCUAUAAUUUCUUGCGCAAGAACUUCAGGCAAGGGGAGAAAGUUAUGGCCAUUCCCAGGACUAGGCUGCUAAGGGUCGGCAUGACUUAUGAAUUAUAAUUGUGACGUAUCAGACAGUAAUAAACUUACUACCAAAUACUCUCAUAACAAACAAACAGAGCAAAAGAUCUCUGCAUUUUUCCUAAAACUUUAUUUUUAUCCUUUAAUACUGUGUGCAAGCUUUCAAUUUGAGUUAAUGUACUAUUAAAACCUGUUUGGAAAUGUUUACUCCCUCUAUCCUCUCUAUCCCAUGUUCUAACUUUGUUUGCCCCUAUUAAUAUUGAUGACUUUCUACUAUUAAAAAACACUCCUUAAAUAGCUCUAAUUUGGAAGAAGUCUAGUCUAGUACUUCGGUAUGACCUUCCUAUAUGUAUGUAAUAAGUAUAAUUUCAACAGAUUAAUGAGUAAACGUAGAAAUUCACGCUGAAAACAUAUAUUGACCAAGGUGUUUCGACCUUGAAGUAGAAUGAGAAACAAGAAAAGGAACAAAAUUAGUCUGAUCAGCUUCUCUUCCCGAUAGAGCCUUAUCCCCACCAAUAAGAUUUGAUCAGCAUAUAUAACACUAAAUUUGUAUCUGUCCUGAACCAUUUACAUUCAGCAGAGCAAACAUUGGACUAAAAUCUUGGAGAGUUCAUGCUAAUAGCAUGAAGCACAAUACUACAAUAUUGCAUUUCAUUUUCAAAAAAUAUUUUCUGAACCAUAGAAAACUAGAAGAACAUCAGUAACAAGGUAAUACCUGGAUUUUUGAGCUGUCAAAUAUAAAACCAUUUAGGGCAUAUGUUUUGCCACUGAAAAGUACACAAAAGCAAAUUGACCAUGAGUCCAUGAUUUACCAAACGAACUACACAGAUCUGAACAGAAAAAGAAAGCAUACGAAAGAGAGCAUUAGCAAGUCAAAAUUAACUCCGAAAGAAGCACUUCAUGAAACAUCCCAAAAUAUACUCCAAUUGAUUUAUUACACUUAUUAUCAGGACAAUCAACACAUAGUUCCUUAAUUCCCUAUUACAUUUCAUGAUUACAACAAAUAAAAAAAAAAUUUAAAAAAAGUAGCAUUGUGUAAAGGAAUCAGUACAAAGUUCACCUACAAAAUAAAGAGAAGAAAGCAAACAAUCUCUAACGAGCAAAGUCACAGAGACUUACCGGUAGAACGACGGUUGCGAAAGGAAGGAGAAGCGGAGAGGCAAGUCUAGCCUCUUUCCAGUCACUGAUCAGCAUGGGCGAAGUAGCCGUCGAUCGAGAGAAAAAAUGACAAAGGCUAAUUGGUUUUUAAUUUGGG